CGAACGAGUCGCAAGCUCGCGAGAGUAAGCUAAUCUCUUAAAGCCGUUCUCAGUUCGGACUGUAGGCUGCAACUCGCCUACACGAAGUCGGAAUCGCUAGUAAUCGCGGAUCAGCAUGCCGCGGUGAAUACGUUCCCGGGCCUUGUACACACCGCCCGUCACACCAUGGGAGUUUGUAACGCCCAAAGUCGGUGGCCUAACCUUUAUGGAGGGAGCCGCCUAAGGCGGGACAGAUGACUGGGGUGAAGUCGUAACAAGGUACC
rnacentral:rRNA from 1 species